AGAAAAGAAGUUGGGUUCUGCUAGGAAAAGACAUUUGUUUCAUAAACUUUGUUAUGAAGUUUGAAUAUAAUCUCACAAGGACAAGGGUUGGUGGUAUUGUUAAAUGAUGCAUUCGUUCAAUCAAAUGGGAAGAAACCAUUUGAGCAGUUACAGACUAGACUAUAGUUGUAUCAUUGGUUGCACUAUGUCAAAAGUAUAACCACAGUAUUGCAGAUGUUAUCCCGUAAUAGACUCACACCCGAAAAAUUCUGUUCCAUCAAUAUAUUCUCUGUACUUUAAAGCGUUGCUUGAAUGUUUGUGUUGGUUAGUAUGCAAUCUAUCUAAUGAUAACUUACGUGUCCAAUUAAAUGUUAACUCUCUAUUUCGUUAAAUCAAUGAAUAAUGCUGUAAUGUUGCAGAAGAAAUGUAUAAACUUAAAAUCCAUGUGAUAAAGAUCAUGUUUAUCUGUUUAGAAUUUAAAUUGUAAUCCCAUUGAAGAAAUGUUUAUAAUCUUCAACUGUUAGAAAUAGCUCUACACCUAAGCUUAACAGAUCAAGAGGAUACAUAUAAUCCUAUAACAAAAAUACUGGUGUUUCAAAUUAUACACUAUACACCAUAUGAAAAAAAAAAAAAUUUCAAACCAUAUUGUCAAUUUUGCACCCUACCGAAUAAGACAAAAUGAAUACAUCCCGGGUGAAACCAUCGUCAGAGUCGUCGCCAGCCAAUCAGCUGAAGGGCGUCUGACGUUUCUCCGAUCACACUAAUACAAACAGCAAUAGAUGUGAUACUUGAUUCGUCUCGAUGAUUCUGAGAUGCUGACUGGAAGUUGGCAGCGCGAAUUGUUGUAGAAGCAACAUUCAAUAUCACGGGUUUAUACGAAGUUCAGGACAAGUAGUAGAAAACAAACUCACUCACCUAAAUAAACGCUAGUAAUAUGAAACAUCGAAAGAAAGGCAACUGCAAAAUAUUAAGUAAGAAAACAGAGCACCGAGAAUGAACGCAAUUUGAAUAAUGCGCAAAUGAUAGUACACUGAAACGAACAUACGAAGCAUAGAGAGUAUGGGAAUGAAUCAGCUUGACAUGGGUAUCGGUAUGAUAAUCCUUACAUAGGUUUCCCUCGAACCUGAAUGGAAUUUAGUCGAUUUAAAAUAAAACGCAUCCCCAGUGUCGUUGAAAGUUUCAUUACGAUUAUGAAGAGCUUAUUUUGGUGUUAAAACCAAUCAAUAAUGCUAGAUGAAUGUUCCAAACCAAAACAACAGACUCAAAAUGUCAAUAUGUGUUGUUCGGUUUUGGCAUUCAAAUUUACUUAAGUCAUUCGACGUCUUUCUUCUGCCAUUGAUUAGCGAUAAAAUAGAGAACGCGAUAGGCAGAAAGAAUUUGCUCGACCAAAGUAGAAACAUAAUUGAGUGAGUGUUUCUUAUGCCUGAAUCAGGAAACAUUUGUUGAAAUCGUAGCUCGAUGCGUAAAGAACAUUACGUAUGUUCUGAUCGGAAUUCAAAUAAAGCGGAUAAUGUUAUCCUAUAAUCAAUUUGGAGCGCACAAAAGAAACAAGUAAUGGAGAGGAUUGUGAAUUCUAGGAAAUUCUCUAUACUCUGAUUCGAAAGCGUUCUCUACCAAAUAUGGAGCAGGCCUAGUGCAUUUGCCGUAAUAUUAAGUCUUCCACAAAAGAGAUAAAAUGAAAUGCAAAAGAAAAGACCAGAUGUAGGAGAAUCUUCUCAGUCCAUUUGGCAUUCCAGUCUAUCAUGAGAUGAAGGAAGUGAGACUUCAGUCCAUCUAUGAUAAAGGGAAACACAAAGGAAACUUGAUGUUUCAGUCUGCAUUAGAGAAGAUCAGAUGUAGGAGAAUCUUCUCAGUCCAUUUGGCAUUCCAGUCUAUCAUGAGAUGAAGGAAUUGAGAAUUCAGUCCAUCUAUGAUAAAGGGAAACGCAAAGGAAACUUAGAGUUUCAGUCUGCAAAAGAAAAGACCAGAUGUAGGAGAAUCUUCUCAGUCCAUUUGGCAUUCCAGUCUAUCAUGAGAUGAAGGAAUUGAGAGUUCAGUCCAUCUAUGAUAAAGGGAAACGCAAAGGAAACUUAGAGUUUCAGUCUGCAAAAGAAAAGACCAGAUGUAGGAGAAUCUUCUCAGUCCAUUUGGCAUUCCAGUCUAUCAUGAGAUGAAGGAAUUGAGACUUCAAUCCAUCUAUGAUAAAGGGAAACGCAAAGGAAACUUGAUGUUUCAGUCUGCAUUAGAGAAGACCAAAUGUAGGAGAUUCAUCUCAGUCCAUUUGGCAGUCCAGUCUACCAAUAAAUAAAGGAAGUUAAUUGAUCUUCAAUUUAUUUUCUGGUACAGGGAUACUGGAAUAUAUAAAGAUAACACUUGAUAUUUAAUACUUCAACUAUUCUAGGUUUUGAUGCAAAUUAUCAAUGAUAUACGAAAUCUCCGAUUAGAGGGCCAAAGGAAUAACAAAACUGUUUAAUUGAAAUAACAGAGGUACGCAAGACUACCAUUCCAACCUGAAGGAUGAUACUGAUAAAGGCUAGCUUUGCAAGCACGAAUUUCUGGAGAGGUCAGCUGACGGUUAUCAAUUAUUUCAAUACAAGAUUCCGAAAUCAGUUUCCUAGCAUAGCAAAUAGUGAUAACACAAGCUGUAUAUAAAUCAUUAGCGAGCAAUUGUACUUGCAUAUAACAUUAUAAUAGGUUUCAUCGAUACAGUCAUUACUCAACGCAUUACACACUAUUUCAAUUUUAUUGAAAGUUAAGGAGAGAUGUAGUAGGCUGGGCUUUGGAUGAUGAGAAAUAAAUGUCAUUGUUGUAUUAGUUUAAAUCUGAAA